UACGGAGGAUCCAAGCGUUAUCCGGAAUCAUUGGGUUUAAAGGGUCCGUAGGUGGCAUAAUAGCAGGGGUGAAAGUUUGCAGCUCAACUGUAAAAUUGCCUUUGAUACUGGUUAUCUUGAAUUAUUGUGAAGUGGUUAGAAUAUGUAGUGUAGCGGUGAAAUGCAUAGAUAUUACAUAGAAUACCAAUUGCGAAGGCAGA
rnacentral:rRNA from 1 species